AUUGCCCCUAGCCGCCGAGACACAUCCAGAGUUCCAGAUCCAGUCAUGGACGCAUCGAGCCAGCCGCUCGCUUCCCUUCACGACCUCCCGAUUUCGCCGUCUCGCUCGCUCGUCGCUCCCGUCCCCGCCUAUGUAGCCGAUCGUUGGGCGCCCAGGACCACAGGCUGUCCGUCCAGUCCGCUCGGUGUUUGGGGCUCGGUGGCGGCCGCGCCACUGAAACUGUGUAACCGCCGCCCAAUCCGCACAUCGGCGCUCGGCCAAGAGGCAGCAGCCAGCCAGCAACUAUCUGUGUUGAUUUGAGAAGCCACGAAAUUGAGGUACACAGAAGAUGAACAAACCUGAGAACUGAUGAUCCAAAGAUGAGUCGGAGUUCGAGCAUCACAUAGCCGUCAGCUGUGGUUUCUUGUAGGCGGAUGUGUCUCGGACCUAAGUUGCUGCCGCUGGACCGUGGUUACAUGCAUCCUUGCUUGGAGGUAGCGGUGCUGGGAGAUAUGCAUGUUCAAGGCGAAGAAGUGGACGAAGGCCGAAGAAGCAAUCUGUGCCUCCCUAUCGCUCCGUCCUGCUCCUCAAUUUGUCACCUUAGUUAUUAUGGCUACCUUAUCCCUCAUGCUGCUGAUUUAAACCUGCCCUACUCUUCUUCUCCUAGGUGGAUCGAGCGCUUCAGCUGGUGCCUCGCAGACGACGGGGAAGGAAGGAUUAGAAGUGACGGCUAUAGCGCUAGGAAAUUGGAAACCCUAGCAAUUGAUCUUCUCUAUAAAACGUGUGUGGCAAGGGACGUGGAACCUGCUUCAGAGAAGAAGAGAUGGAACAUGUGAGAGAAGAGACCAGCUAGAUUGCAUGUAUCUUUAUCGGACAUACAAUUCUUUCUUUUUGCCAAUUGCUAGUCCAUAUUGUCCAUGUGUUCGAUGCAUGCAAACGUGUGGCUUUUGGAAUCGGUAGGUACACCUGCUAUAUUGCUCUCGGAUACGUGUAAGAGCUUUAUUUUUGAACUUAAAAAUAGCCUUAUUUUUUAUUUUCGUUUUUUC
rnacentral:rRNA from 1 species